rnacentral:rRNA from 1 species
CGCGGCCUAUCAGCUUGUUGGUGGGGUGAUGGCCUACCAAGGCGACGACGGGUAGCCGGCCUGAGAGGGCGACCGGUCACACUGGGACUGAGACACGGCCCAGACUCCUACGGGAGGCAGCAGUGGGGAAUAUUGCACAAUGGGCGGAAGCCUGAUGCAGCGACGCCGCGUGAGGGAUGACGGCCUUCGGGUUGUAAACCUCUUUCAGCAGGGAAGAAGCGCAAGUGACGGUACCUGCAGAAGAAGCGCCGGCUAACUACGUGCCAGCAGCCGCGGUAAUACUUAGGGCGCAAGCGUUGUCCGGAAUUAUUGGGCGUAAAGAGCUCGUAGGCGGCUUGUCGCGUCGGUUGUGAAAGCCCGGGGCUUAACCCCGGGUCUGCAGUCGAUACAGACAGGCUAGAGUUCGGUAUGGGAGACUGGAAUUCCUGGUGUAGCGGUGAAAUGCGCAGAUAUCAGGAGGAACACCGGUGGCGAAGGCGGAUCUCUGGGCCGAUACUGACGCUGAGGAGCGAAAGCGUGGGGAGCGAACAGGAUUAGAUACCCUGGUAGUCCACGCCGUAAACGGUGGGCACUAGGUGUGGGCAACAUUCCACGUUGUCCGUGCCGCAGCUAACACAUUAAGUGCCCCGCCUGGGGGAGUACGGA